rnacentral:lncRNA from 1 species
UUCAGUCUUUAUAUUUUUCUAAUUAUUACUUUUAUUUCUUUUAAGGGUCCCUUCCACCAGUCCCAUCUGAAGAACUUUUCAGUAUUUUCAUUUUCUUUCCUGAUUUCAGUGGUGAAGCUGUCCCAGAACUGAAGCUAACUGAUUGGGAGCAAGGUACUGAAACAUAACCUCAGCCAUAUGGAGCAGAAGUGAAACACAAUAUUGAUGAGGAUCAUUUGAGUAACUGGGAAAAGGAAAUGCUGCCACGGCACCUGCCACAAGCUGAAGGCUGGAAGAGCAGCCACCAUGUCACUCCCAGAACAUCUUGCUCAACUGUGUGCAGGGGAGGGAAAGAAACCAGAGGGGGAAGAAUCCCAGCAGCAGCCCAGGUCUCAUACAUGAAGCCUCACCUUCUUCAGAAUAGUAAGAAGGGAUCAAAGAAUCAAGGGUUUUGAGGAACCAAAAUGCAAGCCAGAGAAAAAAAUAUUAAUUUGAAGGUAUGCCUUAUUGGUUGUCUUAAGUGUAGUGUUUCCAUUCAAUGAAAUUAAAUGUACAUUCCCAUAAUUAAUUCCCUUUUCUGGCAGUUACAUCAAUUAGCAUGUAACAUGGAUAAAGAGAAGAGGCAGUGGUUGGUAUUUUGCCUUCAGCAGCCGGCAGUGCAAUAUGUUAAGCCAUCAAGUGGUAUAUGUACUGCAGAUCAUUUCUCCCUUUGAAAAAAAUGUGCCUGCCAUUAAGGCACUAGCAAAGAAAAUCGAGCCAGGAGUUUAAGGCAAAGGGGCAGUGCUUCAAAUGUACAUUUUAUGCUGCUAAAGAGAUCCACAGUACUGUGACCAAAAUCCCAUUAAAUGGAACACUUUCUAUUUAAAUCAUCCCAUGACAUGUUUCUGGUAUUACAGUACCGGAGAGGCACAUAACUGUCAGGCUUAGAGACUGCUCUUCUUUUCUUCCCUGAAUGGCUCUGCAGACUCAGACUGUCACUUCCAGUUCAGGAUCUCAGGCUAAGUGCUAAACUUCUGGGCUGAACAAUGCCUUACCUCUGCCUGCCUUAACUUGCAUACCCAGCAAGAAAUUAACAACUUCCUUCUCAAGUGAGAAAACCCUCUCUCCCCUUCCAUCAGCCCUGCUGUACGUCCCUCACGGGAUGGACUCCAGCAUGGUGUUACUGUGGGGUGCAUUGCCCACCCUUCAUGGGCAGUGUUAACCUGGCCAGCAGUGCGUGAUCAGGUAUAACUCAGAUGAGAAGCUGUUGGUUGCUGCUUUUGCAGUC